rnacentral:rRNA from 1 species
GAGGAUAACCCCGGGAAACUGGGGAUAAUACUCCAUAAGUCAGGAGUACUGGAAUGUCUCCUAACUGAAAGUUGCGGCGCCAUAGGAUGAAUCUGCGGCCGAUUAGGUAGUUGUUUUUUGUUCUUUGCCCAACAAGCCUGUAAUCGGUACGGGUUGUGGGAGCAAGAGCCCGGAGAUGGAAUCUGACACCCCCCCCCCCGCCCCCACGGGGCGCAGCAUUUUGCUAAAACUUUUACAAUUGCAGGAAACCCGUGAUAAGGGAAACCCCGAGUGCCCGUAAACGCGGGCUGUCCCGGGUGUUUUAAAACACAUCGGAAGAAAGGGCCGGGCAAGACCGGGUGCCAGCCGCCGCGGUAAUACCGGCGGCUCGAGUGGUGACCCACUUUUUUAUUUGGGCUUUAAAAGCGUUCG